rnacentral:rRNA from 1 species
AACGCGAAGAACCUUACCUGGAUUUGACAUCUCCUGACAACCCUAGAGAUAGGGCUUUCGUAGCAAUACGACAGGAAGACAGGUGCUGCAUGGCUGUCGUCAGCUCGUGUGGUGACAUGUUGGGUUAAGUCCCGCAACGAGCGCAACCCUUGUCUUUAGUUGCCAGCAUUAAGUUGGGCUCUCUAAAGAGACUGCCGUGGUUAACACGGAGGAAGGUGGGGAUGACGUCAAGUCCUCAUGGCCUUUAUAUCCAGGGCGACACACGUGAUACAAUGGACGGUACAGAGGGAAGCCAAGAAGCAAUUCGGAGCUAAUCUCAAAAAGCCGUUCUCAGUUCGGAUUGGAGUCUGCAACUCGACUCCAUGAAGUUGGAAUCGCUAGUAAUCGCGGAUCAGCACGCCGCGGUGAAUACGUUCCCGGGCCUUGUACACACCGACAUA